CAUAUAUUGUUGAAAAAGCAACACUAUUAACUGAACUUCGGUCAGAAUCGUUUUUUCGUUAGCAAUGGCUUUUUCCAAUAAUAAUGUAAGCCAUUUAGAAAACGAAAAAAUGGCAUAAAUCGUAAGCUACUAGUUUCAAAAUGCAACAAAAAACGUUUCUUGGUAAUAGAAAAACACCAUAAUAUUCCAGUUAAUCCGGUUUUUUUCUCUUGUUUUCCCCUAAUGUUAAGAAAAAUUCAAGGUAAAAAAGGGAUCACUUUAAUGCACCAACUAAACGAAAUUUGCAAUCAGAAACCAUUGAAUUUGAUGACUUGAACAUGUUUUCUAUUCAUGAACUCAAAGGAAAACUUGUAUACAUACAAAUAUAAAAAUAAAAAUAAAUAAGCAUUGAAACCUGGCCACCGGCCGAUUACCUUAAUGCAGGGAGUGGCCCAUUGUCUUCUGAGAUAUAAAACUAUAUG